rnacentral:rRNA from 1 species
GAGAAAAGAAACUAACAAGGAUUCCCCUAGUAACUGCGAGUGAAGCGGGAAAAGCUCAAAUUUUGAAUCUGGCGGUCUUUGCGGACCGUCCGAGUUGUAAUCUAGAGAAGCGUCUUCCGCGCCGGCCCGUGUACAAGUCUCCUGGAAGGGAGCGUCUUAGAGGGUGAGAAUCCCGUCUCUGACACGGACCACCGGGGCUAUGUGAUGCGCUCUCGACGAGUCGAGUUGUUUGGGAAUGCAGCUCAAAAAGGGUGGUAAACUCCAUCUAAAGCUAAAUACUGGCGAGAGACCGAUAGCGAACAAGUACCGUGAGGGAAAGAUGAAAAGGACUCUGGAAAGAGAGUUAAACAGUACGUGAAAUUGCUGAAAGGGAAACGCUCGAUGUCCAGUCGCGUCGUCCGGGGGUCAACCUUGCUUCACUGCUCGGUGUAUUUCCUGGUCGACGGGUCAGCAUCAGUUUCGGUCGUCCUACAAGGGCCGAGAGGAAAGUGGCACCCUUCCGAGGGUGUGUUAUAGCCUUUCGGUCGUAUGCGGCGACCGGGACUGAGGAGACUCGGCACGCCUCGCGGUGCGCUAGAGAUGAUGGCAUAAUGGCAUUGAGCGACCCG